rnacentral:rRNA from 1 species
GUAACCGGCUCACCAAGGCAUCGACGGGUAGCUGGUCUGAGAGGAUGAUCAGCCACACUGGGACUGAGACACGGCCCAGACUCCUACGGGAGGCAGCAGUAAGGAAUCUUGCACAAUGGGCGAAAGCCUGAUGCAGCAACGCCGCGUGCGGGAAGACGGCCCUAGGGUUGUAAACCGCUUUCAGCAGGGAAGAAAAUGACGGUACCUGCAGAAGAAGGUGCGGCCAACUACGUGCCAGCAGCCGCGGUGACACGUAGGCACCAAGCGUUAUCCGGAUUUAUUGGGCGUAAAGAGCUCGUAGGCUGUUCAGUAAGUCGGGUGUGAAAACUCUGGGCUCAACCCAGAGAGGCCACUCGAUACUGCUGUGACUAGAGUACGGUAGGGGAGCGGGGAAUUUCUGGUGUAGCGGUGAAAUGCGCAGAUAUCAGAAGGAACACCAGUGGCGAAGGCGCCGCUCUGGGCCGUAACUGACGCUGAGGAGCGAAGGCAUGGGUAGCAAACAGGAUUAGAUACCCUGGUAGUCCAUGCCGUAAACGUUGGGCACUAGGUGUG